CAAUAGCGUAUAUUUAAGUUGUUGCAGUUAAAAAGCUCGUAGUUGGAUUUCGGAUGGGAUUUGCCGGUCCGUCGUUACGAAGUGCACUGGCCAGUCCUAUCUUGUUGUCGGGGACUAGCUCCUUGGAUUCACUUCCUGGGACUAGGAGCUGACGAGGUUACUUUGAGUAAAUUAGAGUGUUCAAAGCAAGCCUACGCUCUGAAUACAUUAGCAUGGAAUAACACGAUAGGACUCUGGCUUAUCUUGUUGGUCUGUGAGACCAGAGUAAUGAUUAAGAGGGACAGUCGGGGACAUUCGUAUUUCAUUGUCAGAGGUGAAAUUCUUGGAUUUAUGAAAGACGAACUUCUGCGAAAGCAUUUGUCAAGGAUGUUUUCAUUAA
rnacentral:rRNA from 1 species